GAGGGUACAGCUCAGUUGUAGAGCGCAUGCUUAAAAUGCAGGAGGUCAUGGGUUCGAUCCCCAGUACCUCCA
rnacentral:tRNA from 1 species